rnacentral:ncRNA from 1 species
CGACCUCAGAUCAGACGAGAUUACCCGCUAAAUUUAAGCAUAUCAAUAAGCGGUGGAAAAGAAACGAAAACGAAUUCUCCAAGUAGCGGCGAGCGAAACGAGAAAAGUCCAUACACCGAAGUCGGCGAGCAGUUGUGUUCGUCAACAGUGUGGUGUUAAAGGUGUCGUUGCAUGUGCUGAAAUCAGUUCGUAGGCUCCCUUGAUUGGGGCUUCAGAGCGGGUGCAGGACCCAUAACGAACGAUGUUUUGUGCAUGGUGUCGCGGCUCCUAAUCGAGUCGGGUUGCUUGAGACUGCAGCCCAAAGCGGGUGGUAAAUCUCACCCAAGACUAAAUAUUCGUACGAGACCGAUAGCGAACAAGUACCGCGAGGGAAAGUUGAAAAGAACUCUGAAGAGAGAGUUCAACAGGACGUGAAACCGUUGACAGGCAAACGGAUGGAGCUGACGGUGCAAUUUUGACCAAAAUCAGUCGUCGCUGGGUUCGUUGGCGAAUGAAUCUUUUGCAAACUUGUUUGUGUAGAUUAUCUUUCGAAUCGAAUCUACGCACGGUGCACUUUUGGUCGAUCAGCGUCACGAGCCAACGUUCGCAAAUGUUUUUG